UCGUUUGAUCCCUAGUGUUGAGUUCAGCUGGAUAUUUUUGUUAUUGCUAUUGUAGGCACAGAUGUAGGUUGUACAGAUAUCCUAAUUAUAAGCUUUAAAGUUACAUAAAGCUUACUAAGGUGAGAAAGUUUGCUAAACAAAGACGGACUUCAGAGCUUCCAGACGAUAACAUCCUGUUAUUAUGAAUAAAGCUUGAAUACAUCUGUUGAUAGGCGCUUUCGCAUUCAAGUAAAUGGCAGAUCUGAGCAAAAAAUAUAGUUUCACUAUGACAGCGUAGCUGAAAACAUCGCGUUACGAAUGUAUUUAGUUAAGCGGGAGCAUCUUUUGAGUUUGUGCUGCGGGCCUUAAUAAAA